rnacentral:rRNA from 1 species
CCUACGGGCGGCAGCAGUGAGGAAUAUUGGUCAAUGGUCGGGAGACUGAACCAGCCAAGCCGCGUGAGGGAUGAAGGUACAGAGUAUCGUAAACCUCUUUUGUCAGGGAACAAAGGCGGGGACGCGUCCCCGGAUGAGUGUACCUGAAGAAAAAGCAUCGGCUAACUCCGUGCCAGCAGCCGCGGUAAUACGGAGGAUGCGAGCGUUAUCGGGAUUUGUUGGGUUUAAGGGGUGCGCAGGCGGUCUGUUAAGUCAGCGGUCAAAGCACGGGGCUCAACCCCGGCCCGCCGUUGAAACUGGCAGUCUCGAGUUGGAGAGAAGUAUGCGGAAUGCGCGGUGUAGCGGUGAAAUGCAUAGAUAUCGCGCAGAACUCCGAUUGCGAAGGCAGCAUGCCGGCUCCACACUGACGCUGAGGCACGAAAGCGUGGGUAUCGAACAGGAUUAGAUACCCUGGUAGUC